rnacentral:misc_RNA from 1 species
UGCGGUGUUCGACCGGUGGUUUGCGUCGGUGCCAGCGUCGACUCAGCCGAAUCGACUCUACGUUCACUCCGGCACAUCUCACGGCGCCACCUCUAACAUCGCGGAGCUGUUAGCUAAAGGUUACCCACAGAGAACGAUUUUCGAGAAUCUCGACGACGCCGGAGUAAAUUUUGGAAUCUAUUAUCAGAAUAUUCCCGCGACUCUGUUUUACCUGAAUUUGAGAAAGCUUAAGUACAUCGGAAAAUUUCAUCCUUAUGAUCUCACAUUCAAAAGUGAUGCUAAAUCAGGAAAACUACCAGGAUAUGUUGUGGUGGAGCAG